rnacentral:rRNA from 1 species
CGUGCUUAACACAUGCAAGUCGUACGAGAACUCUUCUGCUUGCAGAAGAUAGUAAAGUGGCGCACGGGUGAGUAACGCGUGGGUAAUCUACCUCUAACUCGGGGAUAACAUCGCGAAAGUGAUGCUAAUACCGGAUGAUAUCUAAUUUGCUUCGGCAGUUUAGGUCAAGGGUGGCCUCUAUAUAUAAGCUACUGAUUGGAGAUGAGCCCGCGUACCAUUAGCUUGUUGGUAGGGUAAUGGCCUACCAAGGCAACGAUGGUUAGCUGGUCUGAGAGGAUGAUCAGCCACACUGGAACUGACACACGGUCCAGACUCCUACGGGAGGCAGCAGUGAGGAAUUUUGCGCAAUGGGGGAAACCCUGACGCAGCAACGCCGCGUGAGUGAUGAAGGCUUUCGGGUCGUAAAGCUCUGUCAAGUGGGAAGAACAAGCUUGAUGUUAAUACCAUCAUGAACUGACGGUACCACUGAAGGAAGCACCGGCUAACUCCGUGCCAGCAGCCGCGGUAAUACGGGGGGUGCAAGCGUUAUUCGGAAUCAUUGGGCGUAAAGAGCGCGUAGGCGGCCCUUUAAGUCAGAUGUGAAAUCCCGGGGCUUAACCCCGGAAGUGCAUUUGAAACUAUUGGGCUUGAGUAUGGGAGAGGGAAGUGGAAUUCCUGGUGUAGAGGUGAAAUUCGUAGAUAUCAGGAGGAACACCGGUGGCGAAGGCGGCUUCCUGGACCAAUACUGACGCUGAGGCGCGAAGGCGUGGGGAGCAAACAGGAUUAGAUACCCUGGUAGUCCACGCAGUAAACGUUGAACACUAGGUGUAGCGGGUAUUGACCCCUGCUGUGCCGCAGUUAACGCAUUAAGUGUUCCGCCUGGGGAGUACGACCGCAAGGUUAAAACUCAAAGGAAUUGACGGGGGCCCGCACAAGCGGUGGAGCAUGUGGUUUAAUUCGACGCAACGCGAAGAACCUUACCUGGAUUUGACAUCCCGGGAAUUCUUUCGAAAGAUAGAAGUGCCCUUCGGGGAACCCGGUGACAGGUGCUGCAUGGCUGUCGUCAGCUC